rnacentral:rRNA from 1 species
UACGAAGGGGGCUAGCGUUGUUCGGAAUUACUGGGCGUAAAGCGCACGUAGGCGGACUAUUAAGUCAGGGGUGAAAUCCCGGGGCUCAACCCCGGAACUGCCUUUGAUACUGGUAGUCUCGAGUCCGGAAGAGGUGAGUGGAAUUCCGAGUGUAGAGGUGAAAUUCGUAGAUAUUCGGAGGAACACCAGUGGCGAAGGCGGCUCACUGGUCCGGUACUGACGCUGAGGUGCGAAAGCGUGGGGAGCAAACAGGG